UAUGGUAAUUGUGCCGCCGCGGUAAUACGGAGGAUCCGAGCGUUAUCCGGAUUUAUUGGGUUUAAAGGGAGCGUAGGCGGACGCUUAAGUCAGUUGUGAAAGUUUGCGGCUCAACCGUAAAAUUGCAGUUGAUACUGGGUGUCUUGAGUACAGUAGAGGCAGGCGGAAUUCGUGGUGUAGCGGUGAAAUGCUUAGAUAUCACGAAGAACUCCGAUUGCGAAGGCAGCUUGCUGGACUGUAACUGACGCUGAUGCUCGAAAGUGUGGGUAUCAAACAGG
rnacentral:rRNA from 1 species